UACGUAGGGCGCAAGCGUUGUCCGGAAUUAUUGGGCGUAAAGAGCUCGUAGGCGGUUUGUCGCGUCUGCCGUGAAAACCCGAGGCUUAACCUCGUGGCUUGCGGUGGAUACGGGCAGACUAGAGGUAGGUAGGGGAGAACGGAAUUCCCGGUGUAGCGGUGAAAUGCGCAGAUAUCGGGAGGAACACCGGUGGCGAAGGCGGUUCUCUGGGCCUUACCUGACGCUGAGGAGCGAAAGCGUGGGGAGCGAACAGG
rnacentral:rRNA from 1 species